rnacentral:rRNA from 1 species
AUUGAACGCUGGCGGCAGGCCUAACACAUGCAAGUCGAGCGAGCGGCGGACGGGCGAGCAAUGUAUGGGGACUGCCCGAUAGAGGGGGAUAACUACUAGAAAAGGUGGCUAAUACCGCAUAAUACCGGAUAACCCACAUGGGAUUCGCUAGUAGGUGGGGUAAAGGCUCACAUAGGCGAAGAUCUCUAGCUGGUCUGAGAGGAUGAUCAGCCACACUGUGACUGAGACACGGCCCAGACUCCUACGGAGGCAGCAGUGGGGAAUAUUGCACAAUGGUCGAAAGCCUGAUGCAGCCAUGCCGCGUGUAUGAAGAAGGCCUUAGGGUUGUAAAGUACUUUCAGCGGGGAGGCGUUACCCGCAGAAAAAGCACCGGCUAACUCCGUGCCAGCAGCCGCGGUAAUUC